CCUCUCGUGUACCCCAUCCUGCCCACGGCUGUGGGAGGAGAGCUCACAGUGCUUUUCUCCAGGGCAGGGUCCUCUCUGGCCCUGGGUGCCCUGGCACUCUGCCAGCCUGCCCUGAGGGGAACUGAGGCCUCCCACGCAGAGGGGCUGCUGGGGCCCAGGUGGGACCUAGUCAGCUGGCUCCCAAGAGGGACCGGAGUCGUCCUCCUCCAGCCACACCUCUGGUGCCCAACCCAGCAGGGCCAGGGCCUCGAACGCUGGCUGGAGCCAGGCAGAAGCCGGCAGCCUGUCCAAGCACACCUGGCCAGACCCCGCCCUUCCCUUCUCUUCCUGGCCGGCGCUGGGGAAGCUCCAGGCUCUUGGAAAGGCCAAGCCCCAUCUCAGUUCCGCACACAGACGCCUCCAGGACCCUGGAGCCCAGCAGAGCAGGGGCAGGUGGAGCUGGAUCAUGCCCUGAGCGUGCUUUUGUCCCCUGCUGCCACCAGCUGAGAACUGUGUCCCUGGGAAGGAAGGUCUGCAGCCCCAAGGUUUCCUGAAGGGAAAAGAAAACAGAUCUCUACCGGGCUCUUGACCCCAUGCCCCAGUGCCCUGGCACCUCCACUUAAAGAUAGGGAAACCGACGCUAGGCCUCCAGUGUUGGGGGGGCUUGGACCUCUUCUGCCUUAUGUGCCCCAGCACAUGGCAAUACCUUAGGGUGAACUUGUGUAAUGGACGGAUGAGGCUCAGAGAGGGCAAGCGCCUGGUUGAGUCCACACAGCGAGAAAAGAGCUCUACUGGGAAUCAACCCCAGGCCAGUGUGAAUGCUAAAUUCAGACCCACCCACUGAGGUAGGGGCAUCACACACACACACAUGAGUAUGCUCCCACCCUUCUGCCCAAGUGCUACCUACACAAAUACACACCCAUGUGCGUGCACCCGUGCACACCCCCCGUGGAGCUCCUGGCCACUCUCGCUGCUCAAGCCCAUGUAAGGGGGCUCCCCCCGCACCUCCAGCAGACAGGCUUCCUUCUGUGCUGGUCUCACACCCUCCUCUGUCACCACCCCCUCCUCCACGCCUGCAGCAGGCAGGAUGGCACAUGCCCGCUUCCACCCCCGCAGCCCUGCUGCCCUUUCUGCCUCCCCGGGCCCCAGCGGCUGCACAGGGCUACACUAGACGCCCUGGAGAAGGUUUGAGACUCACAGAGCAUCAAUGGCAGAGGCCCAAGCCCGGUUCCCACAGGGUGGAUGGAGCCCCAGGAGUGGGCAGCAUGCACCCACUCUGGUGGGCUAGUGCCUGGGUGGCAUUGGAGGCUUGGCUGCCAGCAGGGCCAUUCCAAAAUUUGGGGUCCUCUCCUGGCUGUGUCAUGUGGUCCGGUCUCAGGGAUCAGCUUAAAGUGCAGGUGAGGGGCCAGGACACCAGGAGCCCUGAGCCUGCUUCGUGCAACCCAGGCCUGUGUGGGACCCAGCUGGGGUCUCAGGUCCCUGGGCAGCGGGGCAGGGAACUUGCUCUCCGGAGCAGGCCAAACCUGGAAGGCGUUCCUGCUGCUUCUCUCCUAACAAGGGACCCACGAGGCAGAGGUGGUCAGGGCCGCUCAGAGGCUUCUGGGAGGUGCAGAAGGCAGGUGCCCAGCUCUGGUUAUUCAUUUGCUCUCACAGCAAUCCGAGGAGACAGGCACUAAUGUCCCUUAGGUACCAACAGUAUUCGUAUUUUCCAGGGGGAUAAACUAAGCCACAGAGAGUUAAGUCACCGGCCCCAGGUCCCUGACCCCAGGCAUGUAGCUGGCGUCCCUGGCAUUUGUUGAGAAGAUGAAGCUGAAGGCAGAUGUGACCCGCACAAGGUCAGGAGCCCAGGAUUGGAACCCAGAUCUGGUGUCAGAAGUUCUUGGGUUUCGGGUCCUCGGCUGAGCCUCCUCUGCAGCCCUGGGACCCACCCAGGAGGCACGGCUGGCGUCUGCCCUCGAGGGCACCCUGCACCUUGUGGCCAGCUUCCCAGAGCUCCCGACCUUUCCUUUCCAAUGGAGGCUGCAAGAAGCAGCCCCUGACACAGGACCCAGCCCAGCCCUCCCAGCCAGGCCUGGGUGUCAUCCUGCCACACGGAAGUGAUUUCAGUCACUGAUGUCAGACAGGGCCACUCUGUGACCAGGAUGGAUCAAGACAAAACAUCGAGAGCACGCUGCCAUCAUGUCUGAAUACAGACAAAAAAACCAACACCCUCCAAACCACAAACACGACCCAAUGUCCUCUAUCUUCGUUGCCUGAGUGACAGCAGCUUCAGCACCCAUUCACUUCUCUUCCUUUCCAGAUAAAAGCCACUAAGAUCCCCCAUCACAGGAUCGCCUCCGCUUUGUGAGCACACGCCUGAGACAAAGGCUCCGUCUCCUUGCAUCCUCCCGGAAGCACCCAGAACAAGCCCCUGUUUUUCCAGUCCUUCCUAGGACCCUGUGCGCAGAUGGUCCCCGGCUUCCCAGGUGUGCACGCCCCUUCGUUCCAACCGCCAAUAAACCCCCACUGCGCUCAGGCAGGUGACUCUGGUGGCCCUUGGCUGGGACCCUGCACGAAGUCUCACAACUGAACAAGACUCGGUUUGUUCAGCCCAUUUCAUUGAUGCCUCUGGAGCCACAGCAGUGAGUCAGCCCCAAAGUAUCAGCCCCCGGGAGGCACGACGGGGCCAGAGGGGAGCCUUCAGCUCCAUCUGUCCCCAGGAGCCUUCAGCUCCAUCUGUCCCCAGGAGGCCUAUUUCCAGCCCUGUGGCUGGAGAAAGAAUGUUCGCUGCUUGAUGGUCCUGCAGCACCUGCUGGCCCCGUCCGCUGUCCUCUCCGCCCCAGCCCUGUGGUAGGGCGUUGGCACCUGCAGGAGGAGACGGAGAAAGGGAACGAGUGCUUGGGCCAGAAGCCCUGGGCCCUGCGCUUGCCUCUGCCUCUCAUUUGCCAUGUAGCCUGCUCCUCAGUUUAUCCAUCAGGACAAUGGGUGGGUGAGGCCGAGGCGGGUGAAAGGUUGAAGGGACUUGCCCACCUGGGCCCGCUCUCUCCCUUGCCUGAAAUCCUCAGGUUCAGGCAGGGCAGAAACCUUCUGGUCUCCCGCUCUCUACCCUGGUUCCCUGAGGGUUAAUCCACCUUCUAGAACAGACACAGGGCUGACCUGAGGCGCAGGUGAGCAUCUGGGGGAUUCCAUAUGUCCCCGGUCACUAGAGCCCUGGCUGGGUAGGGAGCCGUGUUGCUCGUGACCAGUGGAAAGCUUCGGGCUCAGGCUCUGUGUCCUUCCAGCCCCGUUCCUCCUCGCUCCCUGGAUCAGGGACCACAUCCAAGCCAAACAGGAUGGUCAGGACGGAGCCGGAGGUGGCCCGGGUAGGGCCCACAGGGCCUCGGGGCUCCUAGGGAGGAGGCGGUGGCAGUUGAGGAAGAAGGUCUCUGUAGCUUCAUUCAGCUCUAAAUCCUGCUGUCUGGUGACUGGGGAUGUGGCAUUCUCCUCUCUGCCCCAGGCGGGAGGAGAGGAAGGAAGCAGAGCUGGGGACUGAGGUGUGAGCCAACAGGUGACCUUUCAAAAGAAGAAUCCUUUUCUUUCCCUGCAGCCCAUCUUCAGGAGGGAAGAGAGAAUCCAGAAAGCCUGUGGGUCCUUCAGUGCCCUCUCCUCACACUCUAUUCAGAUUCACCCUUCCAGGCCCUUCCACAUCCCCCUCCCAAAUGCCUCUCCCCUCUGCCCGGAAGUCCCUCCCCGCCAUAUCCCCUUUGCUUGGAGAUUCCAUCCAUCAAGCCUCAUCUUAAUGUCACUUCCUCCAAGAAGCCUCCCCUGGUUGGAUCUUGGAUGUACCUAUGGCUCUCUCUGCCCCUCCCUCCCAAAUUUGAACACACUGAGUGAUGUGGUGAGCAGAGCACAAAGAUAACCAGGCAUACAAGGAGACAAGACCCCAUGAGCAAGAAUCAGCACAAACAAAAGACAACAGAGGUUGACCAUGAUGAGUUCUGAUACAGGAAUUAUCAGACAUUAUGGCCUUUGAAAGGUGUUUAAAAAAAAAAACAUAAGAAUCACAGGCUUACAGAUCCUCGUGGUCUAGCUGAUCCUAAAAUUCCACAUGGAGAUGGAAGGAACCCCUAAUAGCAAAAAGAAUCAGGAAAAGAACAAAUUUGAAGGCUCAUAGCUCCUUAUUCCAAGAUAGAUAGAUAGAUAGAUUACCUUUAUUUUAUUUAUUUGUUUUUCUGUGGUGCUGAGGAUCGAACCCAGUGACUCACACAUGAGAGGCAAGUGUUCUGCCACUGAGCUACAGCCUCAGCCCCAUGAUUCCAAGACUUAAUGCAAAGCUACAAUAAUCAAGACUGUGCCGGACCAACCUUUAGACAGACAAAUAGACCAAAAGAAUGUAACUUAGAGUUCAGAAAUAAACCCACGUGUUUGUGCUCAUUUGAAUUUUGACAAGGGUACUAAGAGAAGUCAGUGUGGGGGCAGAGUUUUCAACACAUUAUGCUGGGACAACUGGACCUUUACAUUGUGAAAUAAUGAAAUUGUCCCUCUACCUCACACCAUAUACCCCAGUAACCAUUAACUCAAAACGAGGGUGGAGGCCUCAGGAAGGAGAUUCAUGUCAUAAGAUACAAGAGAGUUUUCUCCCUCUUUCCCUACCCCACUCCUAGCUCCCUCUUUUUUCUCUACCACUGAGAAUACAGCAAGGAGAUAGCCAUCUGUGUCAGGAGGGAAGUUCUUAUCAGAAUCCAGUCAUGCCGGCACCCUCAUCUCCGACUUCCAGCCUCCAGAAGUAUGAGAAAUGCUCUCUGGAUUUCUGUGCCAGGCCCGCAGGUCUACGGCACUUUUGUUAUAGCAUCCCCAAAUGAGUCAAUAUCAUUAGUCAUCCGGAAAAUAUAAAUUAAAGCCACAGAAAGAUGGCUAAGGUGGCUACACCAAGAAGAAAGACAGUGACAGGUGUUGUUAAGGACAACAGAGAAUGGCUUAGUGAUUGCUAGGGGUGAGGGGUGACAAUGCAGUUUGGGAGGAUGGAAUAUUCUAGAAUUAGACUAUGCUAGGCAGUGCUCUGCUCUACCACUGAGUUACAUCCCCAGCUCUAUAUUUAAAAAUCAAAUAUUAAUAUAUUAAUAUUUAAAGAUUAUGUAUGUGAAGACCCUCAGAAAUAAUGCUAAGAAACUCCAGCUAAGGUGUGUUGAGCGCUAACCAUGCAGCCGGAGUCUUCUAAGCACCUUCUUGUGGGGACACUUGUCCCCCCACAUCCCUACAGGCAGGGGCUACUUUUCCAAUUCACAGAUGAAAACUGAGCCGAGGGAGGCCGCUUACCUGAGGUCUGUCAGGAGGCCGAGUCGAGAUUCAAACCCUGUCUCCCCACAUCCUGCUGCUCUGAGAUCAU